rnacentral:rRNA from 1 species
CCUACGGUGGGCAGCAGUGGGGAAUAUUGGGCAAUGGGCGAAAGCCUGACCCAGCAACGCCGCGUGAAGGAAGAAGGCUUUCGGGUUGUAAACUUCUUUUGACAGGGAAGAGCAGAAGACGGUACCUGUCGAAUAAGCCACGGCUAACUACGUGCCAGCAGCCGCGGUAAUACGUAGGUGGCAAGCGUUGUCCGGAUUUACUGGGUGUAAAGGGCGUGUAGCCGGGCUGACAAGUCAGAUGUGAAAUCCAGGGGCUCAACCCCCGAACUGCAUUUGAAACUGUUGGUCUUGAGUAUCGGAGAGGCAGGCGGAAUUCCUAGUGUAGCGGUGAAAUGCGUAGAUAUUAGGAGGAACACCAGUGGCGAAGGCGGUCUGCUGGACGACAACUGACGGUGAGGCGCGAAAGUGUGGGGAGCAAACAGGAUUAGAUACCCUUGUAGUC